rnacentral:rRNA from 1 species
UACGUAGGCAGCGAGCGUUGUUCGGAACUACUGGGCGUAAAGCGUGCGUAGACGGUAGCGUAAGUCGGGUGUGAAAGCCCCGGGCUCAACCUGGGAAUUGCAUUCGAGACUGCUCUGCUAGGGUGCGGAAGAGGGAAGCGGAAUUUCCGGUGUAGCGGUGAAAUGCGUAGAUAUCGGAAGGAACACCAGUGGCGAAAGCGGCUUCCUGGUCCAGCACCGACGUUCAGGCACGAAAGCGUGGGGAGCAAACAGG